GCAUGACAUGGCUAGAAUGCGGGUUUCCGAGGACAUAACCCUCGAUAAGAAAGUCUGGAGGUCUAGUAUCAGGGUUGCAGGAUAGGGGCUCCUAGAGUUUUCCGUACUCCUCACCCAGGGUUGGGUGAGGCUUGACAGGGCUAUCCAUAGAUGAUUUGUGUAUUGAAUUGUAUCUCCCUUAUGGUAGUUAUUCAUGGUAGUUACU
rnacentral:lncRNA from 1 species